rnacentral:lncRNA from 13 species
AACAUUCUUUUCCGCGUGCCUGAUCUGAGCCUCACAACUCAGGUGAGCAAGACUGUCCCUUUCACAUGGAAAAGCCGAGUUCUACGGAACUCCGGGAGGAGGAGCCGGCAUCAUACAAAGACUCUGAGGGGCUCCUCGAGCGGCAGCACAGAGACAGCAGUCCGAGGUGGGAAAGGUCCAGGCCAGGAACACGCUGGGCACGGGCGGGCAGCCCUCGGGCGCCCCCACGAGGCCGGCGCACUCCAGGUCCUGGACGGGAUCGGAAGCUUCUGGCAAGCCAGUGCACGGAGCGCGGGGGCCGCUGACCGCCUUAUUCCCGCGCAAGUUCUGGCGCCGCAGCUUCUUCUCCACCUCGUCCGCCCCGCGCUCCUCCUGCUUGCACCUCAGGCCUCCUACCGCGCCUCAGGCCUCCCACUGCAGCAGGUACUGCGUGUCCGGAUUGUCGCAUCCUCCGCUUGGUUCGGCAGGUCUGUCUACUUCCGCUUCACGUCGGCCUCCAGCUCCCGCGCCUUCCGGUCUUCCGGGCCUCGCAGCGCUUCCCCGGCUCUGCCGCCUGCAGGAGUUCAACAGCGCCCAGGCUUCCUCCCUUUUGGCUGCACGAGGCUCCAUUUCACCUCCUGCUUCUUCCUCCUCUUUGCGCCUUGCUGGCCGACUCGGGCUCACUUACCUCCAUCUUGUGGACGACCAGCCUCGACAGCUCCUGUGGCUCGUUGGCCACCUCGGGGUUGGCCUUGGCCUUUGCUGCCUUGUCUUUUGCCACAGCACUUUCGCUUCCUGUCUCCUUUUUUUUUGAGACAGAGUCUUGUUCUGUCGCCAGGCGCCAGGCUGGAGUGCAGUGGUGCGAUCUCUGCUCACUGCAACCUCCGCCUCCCGGGUUCAAGCAAUUCUCCUGCCUCAACCUCCCAAGCAGGGGAUCAUGGACAUUGAAGCAUAUUUUGAAAGAAUUGGCUAUAAGCGCUCUAGGAACAAACUGGACUUGGAAAUAUUAACUGACAUUCUUGAACACCAGAUCUGAGCUGUUCACUUUGAGAAUCUUAACAUGCACUGUGAGGAAGCUAUGCCUCAAGUACAGUGAUACAGUUGUGUACAAAUGAGUCAAGUAAAUUAUGUUGCACAAUGAGUAUCCUGAAGCCCAAAUCAAUUAUUUUGUUCUUGACUAUAUAUAGCACAUAAUGGAAAAGGCAAAACUAUGCUCAAACAGAUUCAGAAAUAUCUAAUUUACCUUCCAGGUUGAAGACUUCUGCCCUUAUUACACAAUGUUACCUUUUCUCAAAUGAAAUCUAAAUGAGUGAAGAAGAAUCUUGCCCACUGAUUUGGCCAGAGAUUUUUAAGGUGCCUCUUAAUUCUUUGUGUUUGUCUAAACCUAUGUCUCUGUUUUGGUGGCCCCCUGAGAGUAGGAUGUAGUAUGUCUUGUUAGAACUCUGAGAAAAGUAAGGUAGAAAAUAAACCUUCUAGAUGUAAGUUGGAAGGUGGAGUG